AGUCUUCCACUAGCAGCCUUUGGAUGAAGACAUAGAACUCUCAGCUCCUCCUGCGCCAUGCCUGCCUGGAUGCUGCCAUGCUCCCACCUUGAUAAUACUGGACUGAACCUCUGAACCUUCUUGGUGCACGUAUGCUUGCAUGCGCAUCAGAAGCCUGAAGUUCCAUUUGUCAUCUGUCACGGUGUUUGGAGGACUGGUUGAACAUCGGGCUUCUGAGGAUUCUCUUGAUUCUGCCUUCCACCUUGCCACAGGAGUUCUGGGACCUCACUACCAUGUUUAGCUUUACACGGAUCCUGGAGACUCAAACCCAGGCCCCCAUGCUUGCAUGGCAAGCCCUUUACCCACCGCUGGCUAGUUUUAUGUCAAAUUAGUACAAGCUAGGGUUAUGUGAGAGGAGGGAACCUCAGUAAAGAAAAAUGCCUCUGUAAGAGCAGGCUGUAGGCCAGCCUGGAGGGGAUUUUCUUGGUUACUGAUUGAUAAUGGAGGGCCCAGCCCAUUGUGGACGUUGCCACCGCUGGGCUGGCGGUGCUGUAAGAAAGCAGGCUGACGAGUAUGAAGCUAGUAAGCAGUCUUUCCCUGUGGCCUUUGUAUCUGCUCCUGCCUCUAGGUUCCUAGCCUGCUUGAGUCCCUGUCCUAACUUCCUCAGUGACAGACUGGCCUGUGGAACUAUAAGUUGAAAUAAACCUUUUCUACCCC
ensembl:lincRNA 9130204K15Rik RIKEN cDNA 9130204K15 gene